UUCCUUUAAAAAUUAACAACUUUGAUAAAAAGGCACGCCUAACGGUUAGCUAAAUCAGUCUUUAACUUCCUUGGACGAUUACUACACUCUCGCCAUAUAUAACUCUUCAUAUGACCACAACAAAUUAGCGUCUCCAAUUCAAAUUAGGGGGGUUAUUAGAUAGAAGGAUUGAUGGGAACGUACAGAGAAGAUGAAGCGAAGAAGAAGACGGUGAAGGAUUAUGUAGCUUGUCUGUGGUCGUUUUUGGUCAGCCUGACGGGAGGUUUAAUACUGGUUUAUUGGGAGUAUAAAUGUCGCCUUACAAGUUGUCAGCUAUGGAUGGUGCCUUCGGGUCUAAUUCUACUUGUUACUCCGGUGGUCAUUUGGACGGCCCUUGUCUUUUCAGAAAUUUGCAAUCCUACAGAUGCAUCCGAGACGAAUCAACCCGUUGUUUCAAAAGAUGACUUGGUUAAUGACACACAGAGAUACUUGAAAGAAACUACUGAAGUGUAAUUAACUAAUCUUGGUUGCUGAGUAUUUCUCAUUGUUUUAGCUGUUAUAGGAGGCAAAUCCAUCACGAGCACACUCUGAUUCGGAUUUUCUUGUAUUGCUGCCGCUUAAAUUGCUCAUUUUAUACAAAUCGAACAUCUUAAGCUCUGUCCUAA